CCAAUAGCGUAUAUUAAAGUUGUUGCAGUUAAAAAGCUCGUAGUUGAAUUUCGGGAUUGACGUGAUGGUCGUGCCUUAAGGGGUAUGAACUGUCGCAGUUGAUUUCUCACCUUCUGGAGAAGCUUGAUGUCCUUAAUUGGGUGUCAUGUGGAACCAGGACCUUUACCUUGAAAAAAUUAGAGUGUUUAAAGCAGGCAUUUUGCUCGAAUACAUUAGCAUGGAAUAAUAGAAUAGGACGGCAUGGUUCUAUUUUGUUGGUUUCUAGGAUCACCGUAAUGAUUAAUAGGGAUAGUUGGGGGCAUUAGUAUUCAAUUGUCAGAGGUGAAAUUCUUGGAUUUAUUGAAGACUAACUACUGCGAAAGCAUUCGCCAAGGAUGUUUUCAUUAAUCAAGAACGAAAGUUAGGGGAUCGAAGACGAUCAGAUACCGUCGUAGUCUUAACCAUAAACUAUGCCGACUAGGAAUCAGACGAUGUUAAUUUUUUAAUGACUCGUUUGGCACCUUACG
rnacentral:rRNA from 1 species